AUGGGCUGUGUAGAUGGGUGUUGUAGCAGGAGUACAGUGCCGCCCUCCUGUCCCUUGACCCCUGCCCCUGGCAUCGGCUGCUGGCGCCUGGGAACCAGCCCUGGGUGGCCUCUCUUUAGCAGGGCCCCUCCCAUCUCAGGGUGCCCACCCAGAGCCCUGGUCUUGGGAGUGGCUCAGCUGGGCCAUGCCUGGAGAUCGCAUCUGGGACCUGGUGAGAGUGGCUGUUCCUGCCUCCCGGCUGUGGUAGGCGUUGGGGGAGACGGUGCUGGGACCCAGCUCCACAGCCGAUAUCAUCUCUACUGUUGAGUUCAACCACACC
rnacentral:lncRNA from 1 species